GUGCUUAAUUUGGCAGCACAUAUGCUAAUAUUAGAAUAAUACAGGGAAGAUCAGCAUGGCCCCUGUGCAAGGGUAACACACAAUUAAAAAAAAAGAUUUAUUUAUUU